rnacentral:rRNA from 1 species
UGUGCUAAGGUAGCAUAAUAAUUUGUUAUUUAAUUGAUAACUGGCAUGAAAGGUCAAACGGAAAAUAUCUUUCUCUUUAUUUCAAAUAAAAUUCCUAAAAAAGUAAAAAAGCUUUUAGGACCCAAAAAGACGACAAGACCCUAGAACCUUCAUUUAAAUUUUGUUGGGGUGACAUAGACUUACUUACUAUUAAUUCAACUUAUUAAAAGAAAUUUUAAAACUCUUCGAAAAAAAAAAAGGUACUCUAGGGAUAACAGCAUGAUUUUUCUUUAGAGACCUUAUCGACAGAAAAGAUUUUGACCUCGAUGUUGAAUUGUAAAACCUUAUGAGAGCAA